rnacentral:rRNA from 1 species
GAUGAACGCUGGCGGCGUGCUUAACACAUGCAAGUCGAACGAUGAAGCCCAGCUUGCUGGGUGGAUUAGUGGCGAACGGGUGAGUAACACGUGAGUAACCUGCCCUUGACUCUGGGAUAAGCGCUGGAAACGGCGUCUAAUACCGGAUACGAGCUUCCACCGCAUGGUGAGUUGCUGGAAAGAAUUUCGGUCAUGGAUGGACUCGCGGCCUAUCAGGUAGUUGGUGAGGUAACGGCUCACCAAGCCGACGACGGGUAGCCGGCCUGAGAGGGUGACCGGCCACACUGGGACUGAGACACGGCCCAGACUCCUACGGGAGGCAGCAGUGGGGAAUAUUGCACAAUGGGCGCAAGCCUGAUGCAGCAACGCCGCGUGAGGGACGAAGGCCUUCGGGUCGUAAACCUCUUUUAGCAGGGAAGAAGCGAAAGUGACGGUACCUGCAGAAAAAGCACCGGCUAACUACGUG